CAUUGUGUGUAUAAGGUACUGUAACUGUAUUGGACAAGCUUGCAGCGCUGGAUACAGAGAGCUAGUCUCUGCAUUCAUUGUUCAGAGGCUUGCUGUGUAGCGACUUCCUGUGCUGCUGUGUUGCGAGCGCUCCGACUGUAGUUAUGGCAUAAUUUGCAAACUAAAUUAAUUUGCAAUAAACAAAUUUAAUUAGCAAUUCUGCUAAUCAUUUAUACACAACUGCGGGGUAUGAUUACAUAGGCUUGCAGUCGUGUAUACAUUACUGCCAGUGUGUUUAUUUCUGAAUGUGUCUGGCAUUGUCUACCUGUUUAUGUGCAUGAAAGUGUGUGUCUGAGUGAGAGUAUCCUUGUGUGUGAAUGUAUGUCUUUAUGAGUAUGUGUCUGGGACCGUAUGUGUGUGGGGUACCUGCUUGUGGUUUGUGGUGUUUAUGGGGGCUGCCUGUGACCUUUGUGCAUGUGUGUAUGAUGAAUGUCUUGAGUUUGUGACUGUGACAAGGUGAAUAAAGGGGUAACUGUGGCAGACUGAGAGUGACAAGGUGAGGGGGUAAAUGAGACAGGGUUGGGGGGGUUAGUGUAACAGAAUGAGGGAUGGUGAGAAUAAUAGGGGGGUGAUUGUUACAUGGUUGGAGGAGGGAGUGUGACAGGGCAUGGGGAAGUAAGUGUGACAGGAUUGGAGGAUGUUAAUGUGACAAGCUGCAGGUGGCAUAGUUGGGGUGAAUGUGCCAUGUUUGGAGGUGGAAGUGUAACAGAAUGAGGAGAAGUGUGUGUGAC